GGUCUCAUAGUGUAGUGGUUAACACAUCUGCUUUACAUGCAGAAGGUCCUGGGUUCACACCUCAGUGGCACCA
rnacentral:tRNA from 1 species